CAGUCGCCGCGGGAAUACGAAGGGGGCUAGCGUUGUUCGGAUUUAUUGGGCGUAAAGCGCACGUAGGCGGAUCGAUCAGUCAGGGGUGAAAUCCCAGAGCUCAACUCUGGAACUGCCUUUGAUACUGUCGAUCUGGAGUAUGGAAGAGGUGAGUGGAAUUCCGAGUGUAGAGGUGAAAUUCGUAGAUAUUCGGAGGAACACCAGUGGCGAAGGCGGCACACUGGUCCAUUACUGGCGCUGAGGUGCGAAAGCGUGGGGAGCAAACAGGAUUAGAUACCCCCGUAGUCCCUGUCUCUUAUAC
rnacentral:rRNA from 1 species